rnacentral:pre_miRNA from 1 species
AAAAAAGACAGACCCUGGUUUCCGUGACUAACAUUUGACCGUCCGUCUUAUUUGAAAAAAUUAUGAAAAAAAUUAAAAAGAUAAGUCACGCAUAAAGUAUUUAUCAUGUUUUAUCAUCUAACAACAAUGAAAAUACAAAUUAUAAAAAGUUUUCAUAUAAAACGGACAGUCAAACGUUGGCAAAAAACCUAUGGUUUGUAUUUUUU